AGGGAAUAUUGGACAAUGGGCGAAAGCCUGAUCCAGCCACGCCGCGUGAGUGAUGAAGGCCUUCGGGUCGUAAAGCUCUGUGGGGAGGGACGAACGUCCCCGUGAAGAACGGGGGGUGACGGUACCUCCUUAGCAAGCACCGGCUAACUUCGUGCCAGCAGCCGCGGUAAUACGAAGGGUGCAAACGUUGCUCAGAAUCAUUGGGCGUAAAGCGCACGUAGGCGGCGAUCUAAGUCGGAUGUGAAAUCCCUCGGCUCAACCGAGGACGUGCAUCCGAAACUGGAUUGCUUGAGUAUGGAAGAGGGUCGCGGAAUUCUCGGUGUAGAGGUGAAAUUCGUAGAUAUCGGGAGGAACACCAGUGGCGAAGGCGGCGACCUGGGCCAAUACUGACGCUGAGGUGCGAAAGCGUGGGGAGCAAA
rnacentral:rRNA from 1 species